rnacentral:rRNA from 1 species
UACGUAGGCAGCAAGCGUUGUUCGGAGUUACUGGGCGUAAAGAGUGCGUAGGCGGUCCUGUAAGUUUGGUGUGAAAUCUCCCGGCUCAACUGGGAGGGUGCGCCGAAGACUGCAGGGCUUGAGUAUGGGAGAGGUAAGCGGAAUUCCUGGUGUAGCGGUGAAAUGCGUAGAUAUCAGGAGGAACACCGGUGGUGUAGACGGCUUUCUGGACCGACACUGACGCUGAGACACGAAAGCGUGGGUAGCAAACAGG